rnacentral:lncRNA from 1 species
UCUAGACAGUGGAAUGCUAAACAAACGAUAAAACAGAGAAUUGAAGGCGCGAACUUGUGAGAAUAAGGAGCAAUUGAUUCAAAGGAAAUAACAAUAUUCGUUAACGAGCGUUUUCUGUAGAUUCGGUAGUGGAACAUUUUCCAGUUAAAAACAAGUUUAAAUUGGUAGUUGCUGUUUAGUUUUGUUUUCCAUAAUAAAGUCUAAACGAGGAUGAAAGAUUAUAGAAUCAAAAGACGCAAGAAACAUGGAAAUCUAGUUCUUCAGUUAGCAAAGCCAGUGACGGUUCUCCCAUUUAAAAAAUAUGAGGUCGAUAUAUAAAGAGACACUCGGCAAAUGUCACUGUAGAAAAAUGUUUCAAGGCUAUGCUCAAAAAGCUAGAAAAAGUCAAGUAUAAUUGUAGAAAAUAUAUUAAUAGUAAAAAUUUUUAUUUAACUCACAAACGGAAUAUCGACCUAACUUUCUGUUUGUGAUUUCCUUUUGUUUGUUGAAUUGCUAGUAUAAUUUGAAUAACAAAAAAGUAAGUAAGUAUAAGUAAAGUAUUUUCGUAGGAAUCGGUAACAUAAAAGUCACGUGUAUGCACUACGAUACAGCAAAACAUUGGUUACUUAGAACGUUUAAUCAUCGUAUUGUUUCUUAGCAUGCGAUUACUAUAAAAAAGUUAUAUGAAU